rnacentral:rRNA from 1 species
UACGUAGGGUGCGAGCGUUAAUCGGAAUUGCUGGGCGUAAAGCGUGCGCAGGCGGUGAUGUAAGACCGAGGUGAAAUCCCCGGGCUUAACCUGGGAACUGCAUUGGUGACUGCAUUGCUGGAGUAUGGCAGAGGGGGGUGGAAUUCCACGUGUAGCAGUGAAAUGCGUAGAGAUGUGGAGGAACACCGAUGGCGAAGGCAGCCCCCUGGGCCAAUACUGACGCUCAUGCACGAAAGCGUGGGGAGCAAACAGG